rnacentral:rRNA from 1 species
GACAGAGGGUGCAAACGUUGUUCGGAAUUACUGGGCGUAAAGCGAGUGUAGGCGGUCUGAAAAGUCGGGUGUGAAAGCCCUGGGCUCAACCCAGGAAGUGCACUCGAAACUGCCAGGCUAGAGUAUCGGAGAGGUUGGUGGAAUUCUCGGUGUAGAGGUGAAAUUCGUAGAUAUCGAGAGGAACACCGGUGGCGAAGGCGGCCAACUGGACGAAUACUGACGCUGAGACUCGAAAGCGUGGGGAGCGAACAGG